GUCAGAUAUACUUCUUGGCUGUUUGAAUUUGCUUUAAUUGUUGGUUUUUCUUCUAUACAUCUCACAUCUCUCAGGAUUUUCUGCUGUAGAUUGAAAGUGUAUCUGGAGCGUUGGUUAUGUGCUGGGUUAACUCACAGUCAGGAAGAAUUUUAGGAUGGGUUGAAUGGGCCAUUCAAUAAGAGGUAAUUUCUUAAGAAUUUUAGGAUGGGUUGAAUGGGCCAAGGAGUGAGCCUGUCUUUGGAUGAUGAAAACCGAAAUUGAUAUUGUUUUGUGAAUUAUAGUUGAAUGUAUAUGUCCACAUAGGUACUUGGGUACCUUGGAGAUUAUCAUCUUUGAACAGCUCUAUACAUUCCAACUUGUGUGAAGAAAAAGAAGAAGAAGAAGAAGAAGUAGGUAUGUAUGUGUACGGACCCAGUACUGAUUCGAUAAAUACCCCCAUCAGUUGUGUUUUUAGUCAUAUAAUAAUUCUAAUAGAAAGAAGAAAUUAUGGCAAAACUGGUGGAAACGGUGUAGGAUUACAGAGACCUUUCCAUAGUACACAUGACAGGGGUGACGUGCCAAUUCAGUUUGUUCAUUUAAUUGCCCCUGUUGUUGAUGAAACAUGAUUAAAAAUAUAUAAAUUGGAUGAUCCUAGCCAUCUAAUUGGCAGAUUCCAAACCAAAAGUCCGAAGAAAUUUAGGCUAGGUUUACAUAACCAAAAAAUAAAUAAAUAAA